AGCGUAGACGGCGCAGCAAGUCUGAUGUGAAAGGCAGGGGCUUAACCCCUGGACUGCAUUGGAAACUGCUGUGCUUGAGUGCCGGAGGGGUAAGCGGAAUUCCUAGUGUAGCGGUGAAAUGCGUAGAUAUCGGGAGGAACACCAGUGGCGAAGGCGACCUACUGGGCACCAACUGACGCUGAGGCUCGAAAGCAUGGGUAGCAAACA
rnacentral:rRNA from 1 species